CUUAGAAAAAAGGGUUCUUGUGGGUGCUAAAUAGAACCAUUGGGGUUCUUUGCCAAGGAAAUAGAACCUUUUGCCUGAAAAGGGUGCUAUUUCUUACUCGCGAGGAUUAUUUGAACUUAAACGACCGUUUAUGGAACCCUUUCCCGGAGACGCUCACUCUGCUGCAGUGGAUUUAACGAUGAAGAUGUCUGUCAAUGAUGAAGAUGUCUGAAACACAAUCUUGUUUUUGAGAGGUGGAAAAGUUACGCAAAUCAUCGUUGGUUCAGUACCCAAACCAUAAAAAAUACACUGAUGUCCUGUGGUGUCUAGAUAUCCGUUUCUUAAUGACCACAGCUAAUCUGGUUAUGUAUGUUAUUUUUUAACGUUUUGUUAUGGAAAACAUUAUUCCUCAAUUGAAUUCCUAUACUACUCUGACUCUGUCUGAGUCUCAUAAUUCAUGUCUUUACUCAAAGGAGACCCUGCUGGAGUGUAUUAAGAAUAAGUUCAAAAAGGAAAGGUCUCCUUUGAUAAACUUGACGACGGUGCAGGAGAUUAAGAGAAAGUUUGGUGUCAGAAGACAAAGAAUUGUGGCCAUGUGCCUCUGGAGGACCCACCUGGACAUCAGAGAGCAAAAAAGUACAGAGUGGGGGUCCAGAUGUCUUCUGAUUACGAGCCAACACAAGAGAUUAUGUUGGACCUUGAAGCAGUUGGGGAGGACUACCACAGCUUUCAAGAGCAUAUAAACGCCAUAAACAAUUAGUUGUGUCGUCGUCAGCCAGAUAUUAGUCAUAUAAUGGACAGGAUGAGGCAAACUGUCUAUAAGAGGGUAGAGCAAAUGGGAAAACCAACUGAGGAGGUGAUGGAGAUGUUCCAAUUUCUUUGGGUGCCAGAGCUGAUGCAUCAUGAAAUGAAGUUGCGGUUUGGACUGGACUUAAAGCUAAGCCUGCAUAACACCCUCGGUAUAUUGACCCCUAACGUCAUCAGAGUGGCUGACAGUGGGAGUCAGAGGGAGAGCCUGUCAAGCCUACGAGAUACUAACACAGAUGACCUUCAAAAAAGUGCUGCUGUCCUAAUUUUGCCUGCCCUUUUUAAGGAGGAUGCCAAGUUUCUGUAUUGUUUAGACGAGGAACCACUGAGCGUGUUUCCAACCAUCAUCUUCCAGGGUGGUGAUACUCCCCUCCUUGCCAGGAGAGCAUCCAUAAAGAUGGAUGGCAUCACAAUAGCAAGUGGAGAGAUGGAUGUGCCACAUGCCCUCCAAUGCGAAUUUGUCAUUGGCCCCUCCCCUGACAUUGAUGCCUCCUUAGGCCUUAUCUGUAUUUUUUGUUUAUAUUUUCUUUUUGAUGUUCAGUACCCAAAAGAGGCCCACCACACAUUACUAUUCUUUGACAGACGCCUUAACCUGUCUAUGUCUAAGCCCUCCACUCCAGUGUUGCGUGUGGAAAAAAUGUUAUCAUAAAGUGUGUUUUAUAAUCAUUUGAAAUGUAUUAAUUUGUAAAAAUGUAACUAUUGCUGUUUUGAGUGUAUUUAUGACACAUUUUUUAUGCAAGUAACAGAAGAUAUGUUUAAGCAAUGAAUAUGUAAAUUAAUGUAAAUAUGUAUCUAUUGUUGUUUUGAGUGUCUUAUGACACACGUUUUUUUGCGAGUAAUAUAAAAGAUAUGCUAAAGCAAUGAAUAUGUAAAUUAAUGUAGAAAUACUGAAUACAGUAUUUGAAUGAUAA